rnacentral:lncRNA from 1 species
GGAAAUGUAGGGAAAAACAGAGAACUACACAAAAUUCACCAAGUACAAUGAAGAAACAGAUAAAGUAAAAAAGCUUUUAGAGAAGCAAAAUAAAUAAAUUACCAAGACCCAAAUUAGAUCUACAGCUGAAAUAGAGAAAUUGAAAUAGCAAGCAGGAGAAACUGAACGGGAGAUCAUAUCCAAGGGGUAAAAGGAGUGAAUGAAAGGUAAGAGAGCUUAGAUGAAAACUGCAGAACCGGAAGAAGCAAAAAUUAUGCUGUAAUACAAGAAAAGAGUAUAAUCAUAAAAAAAUUAAUUAGACCUACAACCAACUUUGGGAAACUCUACAAAAGAACUACUUCAAUUUAGUUGUUAGUCUAUAGUAAGACCAAUCAGAAAUCUCAAUCUGUAAAGAAAAUAUAUGAACCUGAUACUAUAUAAGAAAAGCAAGUUAAGGAAAAGAAGAAAAACAAGAAGAAGGAAAUAUAUGAACCUAGGUCUUGUUUGCUGGAGAAGAAGAAAAUUCUGCAGAAGGUCGCCGGCAUGAGGUGGAUACCGUUGUACACACUAAUUAAAUUGUAGGUAAUAUCCUUAUUGGAUAUUGAGUUUGUUGUAUAAUAAAGCAGUAUACACUAUGUAAUUUAAUUAGGUGUUACUAUCUAAAACAAAAUAAAAGAUUGUUCAUUU